ACCCACUCCUCGGUCAAGCCCUUCUCGCCAAAAUCCUUCUCAGAACCCUAGCCCCCGCCGCCCCGCGGUUCCGCAUGGCCGGCGCCGCCGCGCUCCGGCGGGCCGCCCGCAGCGCCGUCCGCAAGCUGGCCAACGCCCCCUCCCCCGCCCGUACGUUCGUGCUCCCCGAGCGCCUCCUGUCCUCCCAGGCGUCGCCGGAGCACCGCCCCCGCUCCGGCGUGUCGGCGUCGGAGCUGGGGCAGUACCCGCCGGAGCGGAUCCGGAAUUUCUCCAUCAUCGCGCACGUCGACCACGGCAAGUCCACGCUCGCCGACCGGCUGCUGGAGCUCACCGGCACCAUCCAGAAGGGCCAUGGCGCUCAGUACCUCNNNNNNNNNCAGGUAGAGAAAGAAAGGGGCAUCACCGUCAAAGCCCAAACCGCGACUAUGUUCUACAAGCAUACAGUGGAAAAUUCCGAGUCCCAUGGGACAGACACUUCAAGCUAUUUGCUUAACCUGAUUGAUACUCCAGGCCAUGUGGAUUUCAGCUAUGAGGUCUCCAGGUCCCUAGCAGCUUGCCAGGGUGCUCUUUUAGUAGUUGAUGCAGCCCAAGGUGUACAGGCACAAACAAUUGCAAAUUUUUACCUUGCAUUUGAGUCAAACCUUAGCAUUAUUCCUGUCAUUAACAAGAUUGAUCAGCCUACUGCUGACCCAGAUAAUGUAAAGGCCCAGUUGAAGAGGUUAUUUGACAUUGAUCCAAGUGAAGCUCUGCUCACUUCUGCCAAAACUGGUCAAGGCCUUAGCCAGGUGUUACCUGCUGUUAUCGAGCGUAUACCUUGCCCACCUGGGAAUUGUGAUUCACCUGUACGAAUGCUGCUCUUAGAUUCAUACUACGAUGAAUACAAAGGGGUGAUAUGUCAUGUUGCUAUUGUUGAUGGUGCAAUGCGCAAGGGAGAUAAGAUUUCAUCAGCUGCGACUGGUCGCACAUAUGAAGUCUUUGAUGUUGGCAUUAUGCAUCCUGAGCUUACCCCUACCGGAGUGCUUUACACUGGACAAGUUGGAUAUGUUAUAACUGGAAUGCGUUCAACUAAAGAAGCACGGAUUGGUGAUACUCUUCAUCAGGCUAAGACUAUCGUUGAACCACUUCCUGGUUUCAAGCCUGUGAGACACAUGGUCUUCUCUGGUGUAUACCCAGCUGAUGGUUCUGACUUUGAGGCUCUUAGCCAUGCAAUUGAGAAGCUAACAUGUAAUGAUGCCAGUGUGUCUGUUACAAAAGAGACAAGCACUGCACUUGGCAUGGGCUUCAGAUGUGGUUUCCUAGGAUUGCUGCACAUGGAUGUGUUUCAUCAACGGCUUGAACAAGAAUAUGGAGCUCAAGUCAUAUCCACCAUACCAACUGUACCAUAUAUCUUUGAAUAUGGUGAUGAAAGCAAAGUGCAAAUUGAGAACCCUGCGGCCUUGUCUUUCAAUGCUGGAAAACGUAUAACGGCCUGCUGGGAGCCAACAGUCAUUGCAACAAUUAUUAUUCCUAGUGAGUAUGUUGGGCCUGUAAUUAUGCUUUGUUCGGAAAGGAGGGGUGAACAGCAAGAAUAUACAUUCAUUGAUGCUAAUAGAGCUUUAUUGAAGUACCGAUUACCUUUGAGGGAGAUCAUUGUGGACUUCUACAAUGAGUUGAAAAGCAUAACAUCUGGCUAUGCUACUUUUGACUAUGAAGAUUCUGAGUAUCAAAAAUCUGAUCUUGUUAAGAUGGAUAUUCUACUUAACGGCCAGCCUGUUGAUGCUAUGGCUACUAUAAUCCAUAACCAAAAAGCUCAGAAGGUUGGAAGAGAAUUAGUGGACAAGCUGAAGAAAUUUAUAGAAAGGCAAAUGUUUGAGAUCACUAUACAAGCAGCAAUUGGUUCAAAGGUUAUUGCAAGGGAAACUCUGUCAGCAAUGAGAAAGAAUGUUCUGGCCAAGUGCUAUGGUGGUGAUAUCACCCGCAAAAAGAAGUUGCUAGAGAAGCAGAAGGAAGGGAAGAAGCGCAUGAAACGUGUCGGAUCCGUUGACAUCCCCCAAGAAGCGUUCCAUGAGCUACUAAAGGUCUCCAGUUCAAAGUAGACGAGCUGUACUUUAGUGUCGUAGCCUCGUGUAGUCAUCUUCCUUCCUGAAAGGCCUUCAUCCCUUGUUCACCGAGUACAUACUGACGUUUUGUGCUGAGCAGCGUAGCACCACUGCUGUCGAUGCUCCUGUGCCCGAGGGUUAAACCGCCGGUCCAUAGGGGUCCUGCGGUGCUGCGAACCUUGGUGUUCCAGGAUGUUUUGGUGGUGCUAAAACAUGGACUCGCACCCUGGUGUGAGAAGAAAAAAAAACCCGUACUGCCACACCCUGUUAAGCUAGUCUUGCUGGAAAGCGGACAGCAUACGGUGGCGGCGCUUGCUUGUUUCGUACUUUCAUAGUUGCCACGAUCAUAUACGCAGAAUGUUGUGCCUCACUGCACUAUAUUUUUUUGGAGGAAAAGCGCCGAAGAAUUCUACAAGUAGAGUUAUACUUGGUUUUGUUUUGGAGACGUUUUUCCAUUGUUCUCCGUUGUAUUCUUCUGAAAAAAACAUACACUCUGGAAUAAGUGAAACUGCCCCAAGGUUCUGUACCUGCAUUCCCCCACUAUCUAUUGGACAAUUAAUUUGAUUUUCUUGAGAUGGC
rnacentral:rRNA from 1 species